AGCGGCGGACGGGUGAGUAACGCGUGGGAAUAUGCCCCUCUCUAAGGAAUAGCCUCGGGAAACUGAGAGUAAUACCUUAUACGCCCUUCGGGGGAAAGAUUUAUCGGGAAAGGAUCGGCCCGCGUUAGAUUAGGUAGUAGGUGGGGUAAUGGCCUACCAAGCCUACGAUCUAUAGCUGGUUUGAGAGGAUGAUCAGCCACACUGGGACUGAGACACGGCCCAGACUCCUACGGGAGGCAGCAGUAGGGAAUCUUAGACAAUGGGGGAAACCCUGAUCUAGCCAUGCCGCGUGUGUGAUGAAGGCCUAGGGUCGUAAAGCACUUUCGCCAGAGAUGAUAAUGACAGUAUCUGGUAAAGAAACCCCGGCUAACUCCGUGCCAGCAGCCGCGGUAAUACGGAGGGGGUUAGCGUUGUUCGGAAUUACUGGGCGUAAAGCGCACGUAGGCGGAUUAGUAAGUUAGAGGUGAAAUCCCAGGGCUCAACCCUGGAACUGCCUUUAAUACUGCUAGUCUUGAGUUCGAGAGAGGUAAGUGGAAUUCCGAGUGUAGAGGUGAAAUUCGUAGAUAUUCGGAGGAACACCAGUGGCGAAGGCGGCUUACUGGCUCGAUACUGACGCUGAGGUGCGAAAGUGUGGGGAGCAAACAGGAUUAGAUACCCUGGUAGUCCACACCGA
rnacentral:rRNA from 1 species